rnacentral:rRNA from 1 species
UACGGAGGGGGCCAGCGUUGCUCGGAAUUAUUGGGCGUAAAGGGCGCGUAGGCGGCUUGGUAAGUUUGAUGUGAAAUCCCAUGGCUCAACCAUGGAACUGCAUCUCAUACUGCCGAGCUAGAGUCUGGGAAAGGGAAGCGGAAUUCCCGGUGUAGCGGUGAGAUGCGUAGAUAUCGGGAGGAACACCAGUGGCGAAGGCGGCUUCCUGGACCAGCACUGACGCUGAUGCGCGAAAGCUAGGGGAGCAAACGGG